UUAAUGAUCAUGGUUAAUUAGUCCAAUGGUUGGAAUAAUAAUCCAAAUUUAUUUAAAAUAUAGUUAGAGAUAAGUUUAAGUCUUUUAUUUGAUUAUGAUUACAAUUUGUAGUUAUCCAAAGUAAAAUUUGGAUCUAUUAUCUGUUAUGAUUUGAUAGCUAUAUAUAGUUAGAUAUCGGAACAAGCCAUAAUAAUCAUAACUGUAUAGGUUUCGUCUUGCUUUUUAUUAGUAAAGUAUUAGUUUAGUUUUCUUCUUCCACCCAAUAUCUCUUCUUCGUAUUAUUUUUAUUUUAGAUUUUGCGUUAUAUAAUCGGAAUCAACACAAACACUGGUUCCAACAAUUGGUAUCAGAAAAAAUUAUGAUUCCGACAAUUGUGUUAUAUAAUCGGUAUCAGCACAAAUACUGAUUCCAACAAUUGGUAUCAGAGAAAAUUAUAAUUCUGACAAUUAGUAUGAGGGCAAAUCAUACUU
rnacentral:lncRNA from 1 species